UGCUUUCGUUAAUCGCAUUCAUCCGCCAUUGAUGGCCUCCUAAACCACUUGCAAUGCUUGUGGAAAUGGGGAAUCGACUUCCCAGGUCAAAAUGAAGGUUGAAGAAGUCUCCUCCUCUGAUUCCUUGAUCAAUUAUUAGGCUCUCAUCAUCAACGCUUGAGGCACGCGCCAGGGAGAACCUCUAUUCGACCUAGCGUCUCCGAUUCCUCCCAGUUUAUCGGGUUUAGGGUUUAGGGUUUAGGGUUUAGGGAUGGAGGAGGGCGCAAAGAUGGAGAAGAACUUGUCGUCAGCUGCGGCUUUUGUGAAAGGGGUCCAAGACGCCUGCGACGAUGCCUGCAACAUAUGUCUUGAAGAAUUCUGCCAGAGUGAUCCUUCGACAGUUACUGGUUGCAAGCAUGAGUUCCAUCUCCAGUACAUUCUUGAGUGGUAAUCAACGA